rnacentral:rRNA from 1 species
UCAGUUCGGAUUGUAGGCUGAAACUCGCCUACAUGAAGCUGGAGUUGCUAGUAAUCGCGAAUCAGCAUGUCGCGGUGAAUACGUUCCCGGGCCUUGUACACACCGCCCGUCACACCAUGAGAGUUGGCAAUACCCAACGUACGUGAUCUAACCCGCAAGGGAGGAAGCGUCCUAAGGUAGGGUCAGCGAUUGGGGUGAAGUCGUAACAAGGUAGC